GCCAAGUGGAGUUUGGCAUCUCGCUUGGCGAGGAGGAUGAACUAUUCUCAAUCGAAAUUGGCGCCGCCUGCUCAGGUGAUCAGAAGCGGACACAAUCUGCGAAGGGGAACUGUAGACACCACUAGAAGAAUGACAAAUAUAGGCGUUAGAAAAAGAGGCUUGGCAAUUUCAGCAUCCAUAAAAACGGUCACUUAUUGGUCAAAACUGAUGCCAAAAGACAGAAGCAUUGAUUUUAACAGAACAGCAUCACUUUGUCCCAAAAUAUAAGGAGAAAUAACACCUGGAUGUGAGAAAGAAAAAGAACGUCACCAAAGAGGCCCGCUGAAGCUGAAGACAUUUCCACAGGCCUUUAAAGGAUUCACAGAGGAGUGAACUGGGGGAACCAGGAGAUUUCUGAUUCUGAGGCAACACUGACAAGAAGGAGCUGGCCCACCAUUUCAUGAGAGGGUGUGCUAUCAUUUCACAGAUGAGAGUGGUAAAGUCAUUCAAAACCAUGGGAUUAGCAAUUUUCCGGAUGGCCCUGGAGGUGACAUUGUUAGAAGAUAGUGUUGACUCAAUUUUAAAGCAAUGAAAUGCUUUAGUGCUUCAGUGUUAAAAGGAAAAACUCAGGAUGCCAGUGAAUUUUCAUGUUUGGGGGGUUGAUGAUUUUGUAAAUUUGGGGCAUGACUGAUCUUUAAAAAUUUUUCUGCUUUACUUUUUAUAUUUUUAGUAAAAGCCAUUGUCUUCAUUGAAUUUUCUUUGCUCACUUUCUUUUUACAGUUCUUGUAAAAGCCAUUGAACACUGGCAUACUAGUAUUCAGGAAAAGAUUUACUUUUACUGUAUGCAUACACAAGGCUUUGAAAAUCCUUUAAAUUCAUAAUUUUAUUUUUUACAUUGCACCUACUUUUAUGGAAAUAUUUACUUGUCUAAGCAGCAAUCUUAUGGAAAGUUACCUUUAUCUCCUCUUCCAUCUGGGUCCUUGUGGGUUUAUGCCUUUACACACACAUACACACACAAAAAAACAUUUACUGUAGUUGUAGUUGGAGCUCAGGAAGGAGUGAAAUAAAUGCAUGUUUAAUUUUCCAUCUUUAUCCUGAACUCCUACUUGUCUUUGAAUUUAAUGGUGCUGAUCUUUUACCUUAGGUUUGUGUUUUAUGUUUUUAUGUCUUGUUUAAGAAGUUAUUUUCUAUCUCAAGGUUAUAAACACACUCACCUACAUUUUCUUCUGUUAUAUGUAUUUUAAACAUUGGGUCUUUAAUACACCUAAUAUGAUGAAGCAUUUGAAAAAUAUUGAGGCUAUACUACUGGCAACAUAGAGAUAUUUUAAAAAAGGAUGAGCAGUUAGAACUUUUAAGAAAAACGAAAAGCUGAAUGACAAAAGAAAAAUAAACAUAGUACACUACUUAACAGUGAAUAGUUACAUGGCCAUAAUAAUGUUAACUUUGAUCAAGACUUAAAAUAGUUGCAUAACUAUAUUUAGAGGAUAUGUUGACAGGAGAGGAGGGUUGGUUAAGAACUAAAUUCCACUUUUUAUUAUAGGAAGUCAGUAAUGUUUAAAAUUGACAAAUCAACUGAGGUAUGAAAUAAAGUAGUUAGACAGAACAGUACUAACUCCUAGAAGAAGUAGCUUAAGAGUUAAAAGUUGUAGGAAAUGGUUGUUCUGAGUAAGCCUUUUGGUGCUUUUUGCUAUUUUUAAAAACUGAGUAUGUAUUAGUUGAUCUUUUUUGAGUUAUGCAUCUUACAGAAAGAAGAAAGCACAGAACAACAUUGUCAAAGAUGGAGACAGACAAGUAGAGUGGCCACUCAUUCUCUGAUGGAAUAAAUAAUAUAUUGCAUGCCUACUCAGGGCCAGGCUUAGGCAAAUACUAGGCAUGCAGGAUAAUUUAGUGAAAUAUGAAGUCUUGUUCUGCCUAUGUUUUUCCUUUCUCUUUACAAUAAGCAAGGGUUUUGGCAGGGCUGAGAGUAUAGGCGUCUUGAUGUCCAAAGCCCUUCUGCCUGUGUAAAAGUCUUAAGUAAGCCCGGGAAGAGGUUGUGCCCUGGAGGGACUGAGGAGAGGAGAUUUUUGGAGAAAGUUCUUUAAGCCUGUGGAGGAGACUGACCUGUAGCCAGUUUGGGCAGGGGGCUCUAAUCCCUGGCUUGACGAAGGGAGCAGCAGGACCUCAGUAGAUGGCUCUGGGGAGUGUCUGGGGAAGCCAGGUCCAAGCUGAGGGGCUCUCACAGCUGAAUUCCCAUGUCUCAAAUGUGGCAAGGAGCUGAGAGUUUGAGAGUCCAGGCUGUGAAGAGUCAUACUGCUGGGACCACAAGGGCAAUAGCAUUCCCUGGUGAGACUGGUGUCCAGUGAUGGGAUAGUGUGGAGGGCAGGGAGGAAGCCUCCCCUGUGUCUUGAUGUUUCUAUGACCUUUGCACAGCCCUUGGCAGAUGGGACCCCAAGACUGCCUGGUGUUGAAUUCCUCACUGAUAUGCCUGUGCAGGGGCUUGGAGGAGGAAUUAAGUUCAUUGAAAGACCAUUUUAAGAUGUGGUGAUUGCACAUCUGAGUUUGUAGACUUAAGAUCACACUUGCUGCACUUGGAUAGGGAGGGAGGAGCCUCUACCUUCACAGGCCUCAGGAGGAGCAGACAGCAAAUACAGUACUUUAAGGACUUUAUGAGUGGUAAGUGCUGCAGCAUGCUUAGGCUCCAGUGGAAGGAAAAGGUGGUGGGGGCAGCCACCUCUAGCUUCUUGCCCCUGUCCCAGGAUCUGUUCCCUUCUUCCCCACAUGGCCUGGCUCCAUCUGAUGGUUCUUCCUCUUGCUGCCUAGGAGUGAAGGGGGAUGUAGGAGGACCUCUGCUUUGGGGAGGAAGGGGUAGAGGAGAGCUAAGCUGGAGUCUUUCUGGAGAGGAGAUUAAUUCACAUCUCAAUUCUGGGCUUCCCAAAUGCCUGCCACAGGAGGUAUUCCGUGGUCUCCAGAGCUUAAAGGGGCUAAAGUACCCUACAGGAGAAAAGAAGGGAAGGGGCAGAGGCCUUCUCAACUGGAAGGAAGCUGAGGGAGUCAAGAAGUCCAGACAGGAACAGGGGGAACACAGCUUCUUAUAAGGAGGAGAGGCCAGAAACCGAGCUUCAUUGAUUGGGGCAUGAGGGAGUCCUUGUCGGUCUUUGGGAAGGGAUGUGGCUCUGAACUUCUCCCAGGGCUGGAACUGUGCAUAGGGUAAGUUUCAGCAGAACUGGUGUUUGCCUGUGUUAAAGGUGGGCUCAGGCUCUAGUCACUCUCCUGGGGAUCCCCCCAAAGGUACUUGGAGGUUCGCAUUCAGUAGGCCCUAAGGAAAGGGGAGGCAGUUGCUGAUAGACCUGGGGAAAGAUCUGGAGGUCAUUCCUGGAAUAAGAGAAUGCUGGACAUAAUCAGGGAGGGGAUCUCUGCAGGGUCUCAGAGGCCUGCAGAGCUGCCAGAGGGCUCGUGCUUGGGGUCCACCAUCUUUUCCAUUGGCAGGGCUUUCUUUCUCAGAGACCAGGAGGAGCUCAUUUUACUGCCCACAGGUCUGGGCACCUGGUGGCAAGGAAACCCUUGGGGUAGGUGAGAAUAUAGAAUUUGCCAGCCUGAGGUCUUGGCUGGGACUCCAGUUCUGUAGUGUGACCCCAUUCUGUAGUGACACUGGCUUUCCCAUGGACUCAAACACACAGGAACAGAUACUUGGGUGGAGGCUGGAGUAGGUUUUUAUUCAAUUAGGUAUAAGUCAUAUUUAUAAGGAAGAGGGGGCUGCAGUGGGGAGCAGAGUCAGGCCCAGGGUGCUGGCUGGUCCUUCCUCGGUGGAGACAGUCCUGCUG